ensembl:lncRNA MIR99AHG mir-99a-let-7c cluster host gene
AGGUACUCCAUUGUCUGAUGGAUCUGAGAACGCUGUCUGGGCUUGGUACCAAGAGCUGGUAUUUCACAGCAGCGACCGCCUCACAGACGAGCUGUGGGAAGCAGGAGGGAGACUCUCUCUUAGGGUGCCACUACUAUGGAGACACAGCUGGGCUGAACAAGAUUUGCUUCAAACGACAACAAGAGAGACAGAAAGUAUCUGGUUCAACCGCUGCCCGAGCAGGCAGGCACCAGAAGAGCUAGCAGCCAAUCCGGCCAUGCUCGAAGCCAGCUCUGCAGCUCAGCCAAUCAGUGACAUCAUUGCUUUCUUUAGCUUGCCCAUGGUGAUGUGAAGAUGAGAAGAAAUAGCAAGGCCCAACCAGUUCUUCAUCUGGAGACAGUUCAACGUUCUGCAAACCAGAUCUUCAGGAAUUUUACUGGGAUAAUUAUCCAAAUAAAUUGCAAGCAUUCUAUCCAAAUGGACAUCCAUAAAAAUUCAUCAGAGAGCAUUUUACUACUGAGCUGCAAAGGGAAAAACUUAAAAUGGAUAUGAAAAGUGAAGAAAGUGAUCAUAGGAGAAAACCAUUUCAGAUGACAAGAGCACCUCAAAGGCAGCAGCCUCAAGGAGCAGCCAUGGCCCCAGACUUGUCGCACGGAUGCAGAAAACUUAAUGGAGGAGGCUGAGGUCAGAAUGGGAAGAGUUUUUAAAAAAUAAAAAGGGGAGCUAAUAUGUGAGGAACUGAUUGCUGUGCAUUAUUUUCCACUGAACAGACCUUCUUUUAACUUCUAAUCUCAAGCACAUAGCAGCUGUUGUUUUCAUAUUAAAGAUCAGUAAGUGUUUGUUGAAUGAAUGUAUAAAUUCUUCCCCAAUCUCUGUUCCAUGUAAUAAGAACUAAGUUAGCAUUCAAUUAUAAAGAGGACUUAGAAAGUCUGCAGACAUUUUUGAUCAAAAAUCCUUUUAACUGUCUUCUUAUGGUUCCCGGUAACACCUAAGCCCAAAAAACUCAGGUCAUUUCUUGCCUGUACUGUUGCAAUAGCCUCAUAAUAACUAGUCUUCUCCUUUAUCAACCACAGUCGUCUCCGCUACACAAAGAAGAGAGGGUGCUAAUCUAAAGUGUAAAUUAUUUUAAAUCAGCACCCUUCUUGUAAUUUCCCAGUGGUUUUUCCUGUCAUAAGAAUAACAUGCAAAAUUCCUUGCUUGCAAAGCCAGGUAUGACCUUGCCCCGUCUACCUUACUGGCAUCGUCUCUCAUGACUCUUCCCCUUUUUCACUCUCCAUCUUGCCUUUUCCCAACCAUGCCUGCUAGUGAGCCUUAGCCCUUGUGUUUUCUCUGCCAGGGAUGCAUGACUGGCUUCUUUACUUUAUUCUGAUCUCUCUGCUCAAAUGUCAUCUUUUUAGAGAUAGCUUUCCUAAACAUCUUUAAAAGUACCCCAUGAACUGUGAAACACCUUUCCUGCUUUUUCUUCAUAGUACUUAUCACUUCCUGAUAUUAUGUUAGACAACAAGCAAAUAAGUAUAUGCUGUUCCCACUAAAAUAUAAGCUCCAUUUGAACAGGAGCCUUGAUUAUUCCUGAGUAUACCCCUAGUGCCCAGAACCUAGUAGGGCUUUAAUAAAUAUUAGAUUCAUUUGUUGAAUGAAAAAAUGAAUGAAUAAUUGAAUAAAGAUAUCCAGGUAGAGUGUCCGGGCAGCCCAACCUAUGUGAAGCCAGUACAAGAAUGUUUCUGUGACAUAGUGAGCGCAAUUAUUCCUCUAAAUGAUGAACUUGCAUGAGUACACAAGGAUAAAAUUAAGCACGUAGUUUAGAUUUCUGCAAGUCUCUUCCUCAGAUUGAGGAAAAACAAAGAAAUUGAGCUUAUUCUCACCUCAUUCUUACAUGAACUAAAUCCAGAAUAAAGCAUCAUUUAAAUACCAAGCACAUCCCUACCUCAGCCACUCAUGGAAUACUUUAUCUGUAAAGGGACAGAUAGAUAGUAAAUAUUUUUGGCUUUGGGGACCGUACAGUCUGUGUCGCCACUACUCAGCACUUCUGUUGAGGUGUGGAAUCAGCCCUAGACAACACAUAAACAAAUGGGUGUGGCUGUGUUCCAAUAAAAUGUUAUUUAUAAAACUAGGAAAUCAGCAGAUUUAGUCCACAGGCUGUAGUUUGCUGACCCUUGAAUUAGAGAGUCUUCCCCAAAUCCUCUUCCCAAGUUAUUGAAAGAAUGCCCAUAGGACCAUAGCUCCCUCACCUGGUUCUUUCAAGAAAUGAGACAAAUUCAGGGAUGGUUGGAGGGUGGAACGCCUACCUGUGACAUGACUAUUGAGCCUGAUUUCUUUCCUUUUAUCUCUUUAAAGUGAGUCAGGUCUUAACUUUAAACUGUCUCUAAAGUGGCAAUAACUGGGCCAUGUCAAAUACUCCCAAUGACAAAA